CAGCAAAGCAGCGAGGCAGCUGAAACAAAAAAAAAAAGAGUGAUAGAGAGAAAAAUUUCUGCAACUGUGUUUAAUAAAAACUUUCUUUUUCACCUUCCCCCUUCUCUGUAAUUCCCCGCUUCUCUGUAUCCCAUUCUGUCAAUCGUCUGUCUUUCAAAUCUUAUUUUGGGGUUUGUUUUCUUGGUGGGUUUAAGCUUAAAUCCUUUUAGGAAAAACAGGCAAAACAUUUGAAUUGAAAGCCAGGUGAUUCAGAAUAGAGAUCCAGGCUUGUUUUAUAGUUCCCUGUAUUUCUUUCUUUUUCUGUAAGUUUUUAGUUUCAUCAACUUGGAGGGUUUAUUUUUGCUCCCUCAAGUUUGGUCCUUUUUUUUCAAGCUUUUUUAGGAUUUUGGUUUGGGCUUUAAAAAACUUACAUUUUUAUCUUGUUCUCUUGUUUGCUGUUUAUAUAAAACCAGUUCUCCCUGUUCUUGAAUUUUGUUAAGCAACAGGUUAAUUUCAGGGUCUUUGUCUUUUAUAGACUGAGAAAGGUAUGGCAGCAGCUACAGAUUUCUACAAUAGCAGCACAGCACCAGGUUUCUCAAUUACGGAUCCUUGCAGGGAAGAACUCAUGAUGGCACUUGAACCUUUUAUGAAAAGUAGUUCAACAACCUCUACACUAGCCUCCCUUUCUUAUUCUUCACCAUCUCCCUCUACUUUUCCUUCUUCACCAUAUUCUUUCUCUUCUUAUCCUUCUUGCUCUUAUGAAUCUCCAAUCUCUUCCCAGCCCAACUUUUACUUUGAUUUUUGUUCCCCAUCUAGUACCCACAUGUUUUCUCAAGGGUUCUCCAAAUACAACCAGCUGGAUUAUGAGCAAACAGGUUCAAUAGGGCUCAACCACCUCACCCCUUCUCAAAUUCUCCAAAUCCAAGCUCAAAUUCACCUCCAGCAACAGCAACAACAACAAAUUGCCAAUCUUACCACAACUUCGCACUCGCUCCUCAACCAAAGGCUUAAUUACUUGGCUCCAAAACCUGUCCCCAUGAAGCAAUCUGCCUCUCCUCCGAAGCCAACAAAACUCUAUAGAGGAGUGAGGCAGCGGCAUUGGGGCAAAUGGGUCGCUGAGAUCAGACUCCCCAAAAACAGGACAAGACUCUGGCUUGGCACUUUUGACACAGCUGAAGAGGCAGCCUUGGCUUAUGACAAGGCAGCUUAUAAGCUAAGAGGAGAAUAUGCCAGGCUGAACUUUCCCCAUCUUCGCCACCAAGGAGCUCAUGUCUCUGGAGAAUUUGGCGACUACAAGCCUCUCCACUCCUCUGUUGAUGCAAAGUUACAAGCGAUUUGUCAAAGCUUGGCCGACUCGCAGAAGCAGGGGAAAACCGGGGAGCGUAGUUCAGCUGAUGAUUCGAAGACAAUUCUGUCAGCUCCUUCGCAGGAGAAGAAGGAAGAUGAUUACUGUGUGAAAAGUGAAUUGAAAAGCGAGUUCGAUACUUUUGGAGUUGAUGAUUAUAAGGUGGAGAUUUCAGCAGCAUCACCAGCACCAGCUUCAUCUGAUGAGUCCUUACCUGGUUCUUCUUCACCUCAGUCUGAGAUUUCAUUCUUGGAUUUCUCUGAAUCCUCCCAGUGGGAUGAGACCGAGAAUUUUAGUUUGGAGAAGUACCCUUCAGUGGAGAUUGACUGGGCAGCCCUUUAAGUUUCAAUUACUAUGUAAUCUUUUUGGUCAGCUUUCUUUUCAGGUUUAUUUUGGUGUCCUACGUAGCUUCUGCAAUCAAGUUUUUGGCAUUUGCAGAGCUGCAAAUAGGGUCAGUCCUAGAUAUAUGAGUAUGAAGUAGCUGGUUACAUGUUGUACUUGUAUGUCCAUAUGUAAGAGCCGCCUCUCUAUUUGGUCUUACUGGUUCAUUUUUUCCUUGCUUGACCAUAGGAGAGUUUCUAAGUUGGGUUUGAAAUUUUAGGUAGUGUAAUUAAGCAUCGUCUUUCAACACAUCAAUGUAUCUUUUUCCUGUAAUUUUUGUAUAAAUAUGAUUGUGUUUGCUUGCUUU
rnacentral:misc_RNA from 1 species